rnacentral:rRNA from 1 species
GUGCCAGCAGCUGCGGUAAUACGGAGGGUGCAAGCGUUAUCCGGAUUUAUUGGGUUUAAAGGGUCCGUAGGCGGACUGAUAAGUCAGUGGUGAAAUCCGACAGCUUAACUGUCGAACUGCCAUUGAUACUGUCAGUCUUGAGUAAGGUUGAAGUGGCUGGAAUAAGUAGUGUAGCGGUGAAAUGCAUAGAUAUUACUUAGAACACCAAUUGCGAAGGCAGGUCACUAAGUCUUAACUGACGCUGAUGGACGAAAGCGUGGGGAGCGAACAGGAUUAGAUACCCUGGUAGUCCACGCCGUAAACGAUGAUUACUCGUUUUUGGGUUUAGAUUCAGAGACUAAGCGAAAGUGAUAAGUAAUCCACCUGGGAUACGUUCGCAAGAAUGAAACUCAAAGGAAUUG